rnacentral:rRNA from 1 species
UACGACGGGGGCUAGCGUUGCUCGGAAUCACUGGGCGUCAAGCGCACGUAGGCGGCUUCUUAAGUCAGGGGUGAAAUCCUGGGGCUCAACCCCAGAACUGCCCUUGAUACUGAGGAGCUUGAGUCCGGGAGAGGUGAGUGGAACUCCGAGUGUAGAGGUGAAAUUCGUAGAUAUUCGGAAGAACACCAGUGGCGAAGGCGGCUCACUGGCCCGGUCCUGACGCUGAGGUGCGAAAGCGUGGGGAGCAAACAGG